rnacentral:lncRNA from 1 species
AUAUACGCAAAAUAAAUAUAUUUAUAGAAAAAGAGGUUUUUUUUUUUUUUUUUUGGAUGUUCGAUGGUUUAUUAUUGGAUUUCCAUUCCGUGAUUCAUUCAAUGGCAUACUGUAGCUACUGAAUCAUUUUGUUUUAUUACGUUUCCCAUGCAUUGUUAGUCGAUAUUUCAUCUCGGAAGAAGAGGAGACUGUUAAUAAAGGUGUAUUUAGUUGCAUCCCGCGGUUUGCUCAUAAAAUGAAACGUCUACGUACGAGUUCUUGCAUGGGAUCACUCGCUAUUGGAUUGUUAUCGCGGUUAGCCCAUAACGCACCUGAGCGAUCGUUCUGUAGCUCGAAUUAUAGCAUUUAAAAUUCUUGCGCCUCUAGAAAAAAUAAAUAAAUAAAAAAUCUAGAGGAAGAGAACUGAAUAGAUGUUUUAAGGAUUAGUUUGGUGCAAUAAUUACCGACUAGAUCUCAGUGCGACGUUGAAGAACGUUAGUGAUUGACAGGGAUCUGUAAGAGGAGUGUCAAUACUCGAGAUUGGUACACUCUAAUUCCCAGCUUUUAUCGAGAAAUACUGUUUCCUCCAUCGCAAAUGGGGGUAUUCGCCAAAAUUUUGUAAACAAGCCCUCGUCUCCGUGCAUUCGCAUCGCUCCCGAUUUGGGACUUCACGUUUUCUUUCGUUUUACUGGCUUAGGAAAAUGAAAAAAUGGGAGUGCGAUUUAUAAGCGGAUACAGGUAUAAGUCUGGUGAUGUAUCUAUCGAUCGGGCCCCCGAAACGCACGGUGGGCCGAAGUCCGUCGAUUGAGGAAAGCGCGGGCCCGUCUGUUAGCACAUAGGAGGAAAAAAAAAAAGUAGACGGAAUGCAUACACUGGCUGGCACAUGUGGCGCCUCCUAUCGACGCCCGCAACGACGGAUGGUGGCAGCAUUGUCGCAAGAAGCAAAGCUGCAUGCGAAGCGAACGAGUGGCGGUUUGCAGUGUGUAUGUGUACGACUUGCCGCGAGUGAGCUGCUGAGUGUUCAGGUGUGCAGGGAGGCAGGCUGGCUGGCUGGCAGGCACGAGGGAUAGUUAACGAUAGCAAAGGUGAUGAUGGAAGAUACGGCGAGCCAGGAAGGUAGAGGUAAGGGUUAUUGAACCGCUACACCUACGAGUAUCAUCGCUGUACGUACGUUCUUUACGGACUCGGCCGUCGCCAUCUUUGAGCCGCACUUGCCCCCCAUUCCUGUAUUAUACGAUAUACAUUUUUUUUAGUUUGUCCGAUUGGAAUGAAGAAAACCAAGAUGGCCGCCCUAUCAAAAAAUCUUCACGUAGUACGCAAAGGAUACGAUCGGUUCGGUUUUUCGCGUCUAGUCGAUGCCAGUGUUCGACUCGGUAGAGAGAGACACACAGCAGCAUCGCGUCGUCGUGGUUGUCGCGCAGGAAAUGCGCGCGAGUGACGUUUAUCUCGAUCGGAAAAUUAUAUAUACGGUUAUAAGUAUAUACAUAUAAGCCUAAUUGGCACAGCCAAUAUGGCGUCCGCGAAACACGUGGGGUUUGGCCUUCGGUGGCAGGUAUUACACUUCCACCGAAAGGGCGAAGUAUCGACUAACAAACGUCUUUCUGUAAGUCGCCUAGCGAUAGAAAAGGAGAAAAAAAUUUAAUGUAGUGGACGGGCUAGUCCAUUGUCGUCGGUAAAGGGUUGUAAGCCGGGUGGCGGAUUUCCAGGAAGCUGUUCAUGCCGUGUGUCCGCCAACAAUCGUCAUUGGGACAUUGUUUAAAUUGAUGAACUCCUUACAGCUCUAGAACCUACCUUAAUGCUAGAUUGCAAUCGAAAACGACCAAAACGUGGCUUUUAUCCUUCGCGUAUUUGUUUAGCUUUGUCCUUGAAGCUCGUCGGUUUAUCUUAAGUGUCGCUUUAUAUCAAAAACCAUCGUCGCCUUGUAAAAGUACCUUGCACAGUAGGCGUAUGUGUGUGUGGGUUCGAUUUCAUCGUCUGAAAACACUAAAAACCGAUUUUAUUUUUAUUUUAUUUAAAUCUCGCUUAAUCUACUCCACAAAAUAGGCGAGAUAAAUUAGAACGAAUGCGUUUGGCCCUUUCGCGGGCCCACACGAUUUUCUAUUUCCUCUUCGCCAUUUUCUUUCUUUUUUUUUAUAACGAUUUUUAUUUUUGAGGUUACCAGGCGUCAGUGACCCCUUCGUUGCCUGGUUUAUCCUUUGAGGCCUCAGGUUCGAAAUCGCAUCGCAGCUGUCCAUUUGGAACAUUUUCCCCAGAAAGCACCUCCGAAAGUAAGGAAAUGAAACAGUUUUCCUUCACCACGACCUAUCUGUGUAUCUAUAUAUAUAUACGUAUAAUAACGGCGGCAGUAAUGUUACUGUUUUAUCAGUAAACCCUUUAACGCUGCCUCUCAAGGCUCAUUCAAAUACGUCGUAGCGCUUCCCGUUACUCUAGUGGGGCCAUUGAGGAGAAGUUGAUUGCCACUGUUUACACUGCGUGUUCCCCAACCCGGAAGUGAUAAGAGCAAGGUCGUACCCCUUUCCGAACCCCGCCGAGGUCACCCCUUCUGUCCCUCAGCUCUAACCCUCUAGCACCCCCACACCCAUGGGGCCUCUCGUUUUCUCUUCCUGUAUGCGGCUCCUCUCCCUCUCAUUCCAUUCAGAUCAAAGUCGACAGAUAGGGAUGGAAACACAUUAAUUCUCUCUUUAACGGGCCACUAUCCACUUUACUUUGUUGGCCACACAGUAUCUCCCUUUGUUAUCGAUUCAAAAUAUUUAUUCGGAUGAGGCUGAAUGAUGUAUCCCUUUCUUGAGAGCCUCCGGAACUCCAGUGUCUUAUCGAAGAGGCCACUUUGUUUAUUUUCUUAUAAACGAUUUUUCUAUCUUGAUUUCUUUAUUGAAUUCCUUCCUUCUAACAUUUUUUUUUUCUAAUAAUUAUUUUCGCGUAGUCGUAGCUAGUAAUCUAUCGCUCUGUAUGUUUCCUUUCUGUGGUAGAUAUUUUCAUUCAAAACGAUGUUUCUCGUUACAGGAAGACAUGGAAGAUCAAUCGCAGUUUGCAGCAUUUGACGUUUUUUUUUUUUUUUUUUUUUUUAAUAUAUAU